rnacentral:rRNA from 1 species
CAUAAAGUGCGUCGUAGUCCGGAUUGGAGUCUGCAACUCGACUCCAUGAAGUCGGAAUCGCUAGUAAUCGUGGAUCAGAAUGCCACGGUGAAUACGUUCCCGGGCCUUGUACACACCGCCCGUCACACCAUGGGAGUGGGUUGCAAAAGAAGUAGGUAGCUUAACCUUCGGGAGGGCGCUUACCACUUUGUGAUUCAUGACUGGGGUGAAGUCGUAACAAGGUAACCGUAGGGGAACCUGCGGUUGGAUCACCUCCUUACCUGAAAGAA